AACUCUAGCGGUGGAUCACUCGCUCGUGCGUCGAUGAAGAACGCAGCUAGCUGCGAGAAUUAAUGUGAAUUGCAGGACACAUUGAUCAUCCGACACUUAGUUCGGAGGCCUCCGAGCGGCGUCGCGCCGCGGGCCUUCGUCCCCCUAAGUGGAG
rnacentral:rRNA from 1 species